AUCCAAAGGUAGAAAAAUUGUUCUCUUAUGAUACAUCCAGUGAAGACUCUACAAGUCAUCAGACAUAUGAAGCAGAGGAGCACAGUCAUGUCUGCAAUUCGUAAAGAAGCCCCAAAAAGGGAAAAGCAUCUCUCCAAAAGAGGGAAGACUGAAUUGGAUGAUUCGAGUCCAGGCGGGGACCCUGGCGGUCCGAUCCUUGGCUGCAGAAGCUAGCUCUUGGGACAUGGAAUGUCACCUCUCUGGCAGGGAAGGAGCCCGAGCUGGUGUGUGAGGCAGAGAAUUUCCGACUGGAUAUAGUCGGACUUGCCUCCACACACAGCCUGGGUUCUGGUACCAGUUCUCUCGAGAGGGGUUGGACUCUCUUCCACUCUGGAGUUGCUCACGGUGAGAGGCGCAGAGCAGGUGUGGGCAUACUCAUUGCCCCCCGCCUCAGUGCCUGUACAUUGGGGUUCACACCGGUAGACGAGAGGGUUGCCUCCCUCCGCCUUCGGGUGGGUGGACGGGUCCUGACUGUUGUUUGUGCAUAUGCAACAAACAGCA